rnacentral:rRNA from 1 species
UACAGAGACUGCAAGCGUUAUUCGGAUUCACUGGGCUUAAAGGGCGCGUAGGCGGCUUCGCAAGUCCGGGGUGAAAGCCCCCAGCUCAACUGGGGAAGGGCCUCGGAUACUGCGGAGCUGGAGGGAGGUAGGGGUCGCGGGAACUUCCGGUGGAGCGGUGAAAUGCGUUGAUAUCGGAAGGAACGCCGGUGGCGAAAGCGCGCGACUGGACCUCUUCUGACGCUGAGGCGCGAAAGCCAGGGGAGCGAACGGG